rnacentral:rRNA from 1 species
AUUGAACGCUGGCGGCAUGCUUUACACAUGCAAGUCGAACGGCAGCGCGGGCUUCGGCCUGGCGGCGAGUGGCGAACGGGUGAGUAAUAUAUCGGAACGUACCCAAGAGUGGGGAUAACGUAGCGAAAGUUACGCUAAUACCGCAUACGAUCUAAGGAUGAAAGCAGGGGAUCGCAAGACCUUGUGCUCCUGGAGCGGCCGAUAUCUGAUUAGCUAGUUGGUGGGGUAAAGGCCCACCAAGGCAACGAUCAGUAGCUGGUCUGAGAGGACGACCAGCCACACUGGAACUGAGACACGGUCCAGACUCCUACGGGAGGCAGCAGUGGGGAAUUUUGGACAAUGGGGGCAACCCUGAUCUAGCAAUGCCGCGUGAGUGAA